rnacentral:rRNA from 1 species
UACGUAGGGGGCAAGCGUUGUCCGGAUUUAUUGGGCGUAAAGCGCGUGUAGGCGGCCAGGCAGGUCCGUUGUGAAAACUCGAGGCUCAACCUCGAGACGGCGACGGAAACCAUCUGGCUAGAGUCCGGAAGAGGAGAGUGGAAUUCCUGGUGUAGCGGUGAAAUGCGCAGAUAUCAGGAAGAACACCCGUGGCGAAGGCGGCUCUCUGGGACGGUACUGACGCUGAGACGCGAAAGCGUGGGGAGCGAACAGG